GACGAACGCUGGCGGCGUGCCUAACACAUGCAAGUCGAACGAACAGGUCAGGAUCUUGCUCCGGUGUCGUGAGCCGCGGACGGGUGAGGAACACGUGGAUAACCUACCUAUAAGACUGGGAUAACGUCGAGAAACCGGAGCUAAGACCGGAUAAUAUAUUGAACCGCAUGGUGGUAUAUGUAAAGGCGGUUUUUCUGUUACUUGUAGAUGGUUCCGCGCCGGCUUAGCUGGUUGGUAAGGUAACGGCUUACCACGGCGACGAUGCCUAGCCGACGUGAGAGGGUGAUCGGCGACACUGGAAGUGGGACACGGUCCAGACUCCUACGGGAGGGAGCAGUAGGGAAUCUUACGCAGUGGGCGAGAGCCUGACGGAGCAGCGGCGAGUGAGUGAUGAAGGUGUUGGGAUCGUAAAACUGUGUUAUUAGGGAAGAACAAAUGUGUAAGUAAAUAUGCACGUAUUGACGGUACCUGAUCAGAAAGCCACGGCUAACUACGUG
rnacentral:rRNA from 1 species